rnacentral:rRNA from 1 species
AAUAGAUACCCCGGUAGUCCACGCCGUAAACGAUGAGUGCUAAGUGUUAGGGGGUUUCCGCCCCUUAGUGCUGCAGCUAACGCAUUAAGCACUCCGCCUGGGGAGUACGGUCGCAAGACUGAAACUCAAAGGAAUUGACGGGGGCCCGCACAAGCGGUGGAGCAUGUGGUUUAAUUCGAAGCAACGCGAAGAACCUUACCAGGUCUUGACAUCCCGCCGACCGCUAUGGAGACAUAGCUUUCCCUUCGGGGACAGCGGUGACAGGUGGUGCAUGGUUGUCGUCAGCUCGUGUCGUGAGAUGUUGGGUUAAGUCCCGCAACGAGCGCAACCCUUGUCCUUAGUUGCCAUCAUUCAGUUGGGCACUCUAAGGAGACUGCCGUACAAAUACGGAGGAAGGUGGGGAUGACGUCAAAUCAUCAUGCCCCUUAUGACCUGGGCUACACACGUGCUACAAUGGACGGUACAAACGGUUGCGAAGUCGCGAGACGGAGCCAAUCCGAGAAAGCCGUUCUCAGUUCGGAUUGCAGGCUGC